UUUUUGGCUUUCGACAUUUAUUACUAAAUAUGACUGCAAGUAGUAGGCAUACUUUAAAUGCAACAUUAAAAUUAAAUGACAAAGCUGAUUAUAGCUUUGCUCCAGCAUUUGCCUAAUAUAAGGUAAGGAGCACUUCUUUUAUUCUCUCUUAUAGGAAUAACUAGAGGUUCAUAUAUAUAAGAUAUAUUAAGUUAAUUGUUUAGGUUAAUUUAAUGAAUACUUACUAAACUCGUUAUAUUAUAGGUACGUAAUAGCCAGUAAUAUAAUUAAAUAAUAAAUCUUACUAAACUUGUAGACGUUAUAUCAUAGGAUAUUAUGGAUAGGGGUUCGAAUCCCCUCUACUCCACCA
rnacentral:tmRNA from 1 species